GCAGUGGUGGUUCAAUGGUAGAACUCUCACCUUCCAUGCCAGAAAACUGACAGUUCAAUUCCUAGCCAAUGCA
rnacentral:tRNA from 1 species